GGGCUCCGGACCGUAGAGUAGAGAGAGGGGGCUAGGGAAAGAAGAGGUGGAGGCCGGCGGCGGUGUCGGUCCGGCCGCACCCCGCGCGGUGGUCGAGGUGGUCGCGGUAGGGAGGUGAAGCGGCAGCGCGCAGGGUAGUCUGUGCUCCUGUGCCCGCAGACUUGGAGGCGCACUCGCGAGGAGGGGCGAGUAAGAGAAAAGAGAGUGGCGGGGGACGAAGAAAGGAGGUGAGGAGGUAGCGAGACGUCGAAGAGAAAGGGAACGGAGCGUCGACUGGGAGAAGAGUUAGAGACGACGAGGAGAGGUAGAGCUUUGACGAUGGAGAGAGAACGACGAGGGCAAGACGACGAGGAGAACGACGACGACGAACACGCGACGUCGACGUGGAAGAAGAGGACGGAUGACGAAGAAGAAGAAGGGACACAGUGAAGACGACGAGGACGAGAAGAGACGGAGCGGUGAUAAGAAGAAUGUACUUGGAGUUUUGACGACGACGAGAGAAAGAAAGAGAAAGAGAGUGAGAAAGAUACACACACACACAUCAACAACUAUCAAUGAUGACCUACGAUCUGGUUAAUGUAAGUUUAGUCGUAAUCGAGAGAUACACAGACAUUCAAUCAAUCACAUGACAAGACAAGACUUUUCCACUUUGAACACAUGACAAAACUUGUGGAUUAAAGACAUUUUAAUUCUAUACAUUAUGGAAUAUUCCAAGUCUAAAAUCAAGACAAAGCAUGAACGUCGAUAUCACGUCCUAAAUAUAUACCAGAUACACUAAAACGAAGGUUCAAUAAAGAGAUAUGAUCAAUUAAAAGAUAAACAAACUACAAGUCGAGAACACGAGAAACAGUUCACUCUGCACAUUUAAGCUGUAAAAGAUCAUGGACACAAUCGAGGUUCAUGGACACUAUAUAUAUGUAUACACACACAGACACUACACUAUGUAAAUACAAGACAGGACGUUAGAACAAAGAAGGGAGACAAGUACAAGCUAUAAAUAUAAACACAGGAACAGUACAAUGUAAGUACAGGAAAGUGAAGAGAACAGUAACUACAUACGAGCAUAAUCAUAAAAUUAAAGAGUUCGUAAUGCCUUUAUGGUUUUUCUGUUACUCAUUUUAGACUUAGAGGUACACGAGAAACGUAAAAGAAACAGCUGCUAGUAACCUUGUUGGAACAAAUCACAUCCAAAUAAAAGAACGAAAGUAUUAGACUUAACACAAUGGAUCGAAAUCGGUUCGUGCUAGUAGCUAAACGGAUCAGGGACUCCUCUUGUGCUGUAGGCAUCAAACCCGCGUUUUUGGGACGAUAUAAUAUUAACUAGUAAAACCGCGGCAACGGUCCCUGAUCGCAGCUCGCUAAUACAAUCGAUAUCUGAUCCAAAUAAAAUCAAAGUACAAAUUAAGUAGCACAUAAAGAAAAAGACACAAAGAAAAUAUAUAAAAAAGGAACAACAACUGAUCAUAAAUGACAAAUACUCACACGCAUCCUUUAGACUAGAUAAACGUCCAACUAACUAUCAAUGUGAACCACCUCUAUACCGCUACGAAGCACUACAAACCUACGGUUCGUCGGUUACGAUAAAGUGUCCCGGUGAAACCGGCAGAAAACUCCGUCUUUUAAAACUCGAUUUCGGACCAGAAUAACGAAACCAAGUUGUUGUUGUCAAACCUCCAGACGAGUGACUCCUAGGGAUACUCGUGAAUAUGGCUCAGUACCUCAUAAGUCCAUGUCAGUUCAUGGUACCUCAAGGAGUUCUACGAUAGUUCACGUACGACAAGAGUAAGAGAGAGACCCUACUACGAGCACGAACCAUAGCUAGGAACGGUAGUUCUAGUAAGUCAACCUUGCUCUAUAGUGUUCGAAAGAACCUAUUUAUAAAGGGUGAUGUAUUCAUCAGGCGUUAAGCUCUACUCUAGGAGUCGAAGCAAGUCGCACUUCCGCUCUCGAACAUACUACGAACCCUCUCUAUGUUCCGAAAUAAGUCCUCUACAGGAUUGGUGCCCGAGCUCUCUACCAAUCUCGACGUUUAUAAGAUAUCUCCUAACUGAAGCUUGUGAGCUCGAAUACAGCUAUACCGUCGCCACCUCGAUAAUGUUUGUUCUGUGAACUACUUCGAAAAGACGACUAACUCUCGUAUCGAAAGGUGGUUGAAGUCACCAUGUUAUUCUUCGGGUGCAGACUAAGUAACCAAACGAACGUUGUUUAGUGAUGUGGGGUCGGUGGUUAAGAAUGUGUCUUGGGACUUGGAGAUAGAGUCACACUGUUCUAACUCGAACGUACCUAAUAGAAACUGCUACUACUGUGGUAAGAUCAACUGUGUGUGCGAUGUCUAGUAUACCUAUGAUCACAACCUCUAAGCCAAAACGUAACACUACUAAGAAGGUACCUACUCGGUCUCGACGUCAAUCAACAAAAACUAUAACUCCUCAGUGGAAAUCAACUAUAACUAGUACACGACGAUCUCGGUCUAUACCUCUUCAAGUGGAAGCUACUACAAUCGGCGUAACGAAGGAGUUGUGAACUCGGACUCUACCUCUCGAAGUACCAACUCAUACCACUCCACCUAAGUCUACAGUUCCUCGGUUCGAGAUGAUAAAGUGAACAACUGUGCUCAGGCCAACUUUAAAGAUGAUGGUGUGGAGUGAACCAUAGAAGUUAACUCCAUCAAGACUUCGAAGAAGGAUUGAUAGAGUUCAUACUAGAAUCGAAAGACCUGUUCUGUACAGUAUAGCGACUAUAACGGAUACGGGGUACACUGAACAACAACUAUGUACAAGGACUAAACUAGUUAUCUAUAUGAAUAUACUAUCCCAUGAGAUAGCUACUGAAUCUCCCGUAAGAGAGACAGUGAACAUAACCGAACCAACAACUCACACGAAAGUCCAAAAACGAACACGUGCUAGGUAAUGUACGACUGGUCCAAGCUCCACUGUAAGGAACCCUGGGACCACCUGAGUCUCGUACCCCUACUCCUCUUCGUUCCCCCGUGUGAGCUCCUUCCCUCUUCGACCUCGUCCGUACUCCUAUCUCUUCGUUUUCCUCUUCUCGACGUCAACCACUCCACUAGCUCGCUCACGAUGUACUAGUUUCGGGCCACUCGACAAAGUACUGGGUAAGGCUUAUAUAGUAGGUAACUAUGUACGACUUUAGUUUACAAUAAACCCAACGAAUUCGGUACAGAAUUUACAACGGGGUGACUUAAAAUGAACUGUAUACCACGAACUACUCUUAUACACUUGACUCACAACUUACAGACCAUUUGAUCACUAGAUAUGUUACGAACGAAACGACUUUCAUCACCUUCAAUAAUCAAAACUCACGAGUUUAGGGAUCAUAUGAUCUUUUGAAUUAGUAAAAGACGAAAAUGGAGCUAUGUGGAUCUAGUGGUACAAAUCUACAACUUAAACACGAUUCACACAAGGGUAACUCUCGUUAGUGGAUUGGUGAUACCUAAUCGUACGAUACAAGGGAUCUAGCCAUCGUACACUUGGUCUGUACCUCUUCACUACUAAGGAUAAAAACACGAAUACACAACAAGUAAAUUCUAUUCAUUAUUACUUAUUUAUUCAGACUGAUGGAUGUCAUCGUACAGUACAAGGGCCCUAGCCACCGUACACUUUAGCCCAAUCGAACCCGUCAUUAAUUAUUAUUUUUUUACAUUAACAGCUUGGUCCACAUAUGGUACAAGAGCCCUAGUCACCAUACAAGGAAACCCCUCUGUUUGUUUUUUUGAUUAUUAACCAGCUCGGUCCACAUAUGGAACAAGAGCCCUAGCCACCAUACAAGGAUACCACUCUGAUUAUUAUUAUAUUAGUAACGAAAUAGAGACAUUUAUUCACUAAACUAGUGUUCUAAAUUAAGGUCAAGUAAAACAAGAACCCUAGUACGAGAGAAAUCCUUGGUAAACCGUAUCAGUAGUAAAUUUGAACAACUAGGAGAAAAUAGUGACAUUUUCAAAUUUUACCAGCACGAAUGAUCAUAGGAUGACGAAACAUCGUCAGGAUUGGUAAUUAAAAGUGAUCGAUUCAGACUUCGUACGGAACAAACCUCUAGAUAAAAUGGUCCUGUAAGGAAUGAGUCAAAUGACAAGUAAUAGAACGGAAACAGUAUAAGGAAACGAACUCCUGUUCGUUUCUAAAUUCACACCCCCUUGAACUAUUCAUAUAAAGUGUAUAUGUUUAAACCGUGAGUUUAAAUCGUAGAUAGCACUAUAUAGGUAGGUAAGAACGAUACUCAACACUAUAUAAACUUACUUUUAGUAUAUUUUCUAGUAAAUGAACAGUAAACAAAGAAAACAUCUUUUCACGCGUUCCGUGAUAUUAGCAGUUCUAAAGAUGAUACACCGAUUGCUCUUCUCUCUUCCCGUACACACACUGCUGUUCUUCAUUGGUUUCCCCGAUUGAUAUCUUCUCUCCCCUAGAUGAACCCUUCCUUCUUCUAUCAUCCUCCCGGGUACACGUUUGUAGUUUUAGAUGUCACUCCCCUAGUUUUAGGGAUCCAGUGAUGUGUUAAGGGGCUCCAGACCGUAGAGUAGGAGAGGGGGCUAGGGAAAGAAGAGGUGGAGGCCGGCGGCGGUGUCGGUCCGGCCGCACCCCGCGCGGUGGUCGAGGUGGUCGCGGUAGGGAGGUGAAGCGGCAGCGCGCAGGGUAGUCUGUGCUCCUGCGCCCGCAGACUUGGAGGCGCACUCGCGAGGAGGGGCGAGGAAGAGAAAAGAGAGUGGCGGGGGACGAAGAAAGGAGGUGAGGAGGUAGCGAGACGUCGAAGGGGAAGGGAACGGAGCGUCGACUGGGAGAAGAGUUAGAGACGACGAGGAGAGGUAGAGCUUUGACGAUGGAGAGAGAACGACGAGGGCAAGACGAAGAGGAGAACGACGACGACGAACACGCGACGUCGAUGUGGAAGAAGAGGACGGAUGACGAAGAAGAAGAAGGGACGCAGUGAAGACGACGAGGACGAGAAGAGACGGAGCGGUGAUAAGAAGAAUGUACUUGGAGUUUUGUCGACGACGAGAGAAAGAAAGAGAAAGAGAGUGAGAAAGAUACACACACACAUCAACGUCUAUCAAUGAUGACCUACGAUCUGGUUAAUGUAAGUUUAGUCGUAAUCGAGAGAUACACAGACAUUCAGUCAAUCACAUGACAAGACAAGACUUUUCCACUUUGAACACAUGAUAAGACUUGUGGAUUAAAGACAUUUUAAUUCUAUACAUUAUGGAUCAUUCCAAGUCUAAAAUCAAGACAAAGCAUGAACGUCGAUAUCACGUCCUAAUUAUAUACCAGAUACACUAAAACGAAGGUUCAAUAAAGAGACAUGAUCAAUUAAAAGAUAAAAAAACUACAAGUCGAGAACACGAGAAACAGUUCACUCUGCACAUUUAAGCUGUAAAAGAUCAUGGACACAAUCGAGGUUCAUGGACACUAUAUAUAUGUAUACACACACAGACACUACACUAUGUAAAUACAAGACAGGACGUUAGAACAAAGAAG
rnacentral:rRNA from 1 species